rnacentral:rRNA from 1 species
CCUACGGGGGGCUGCAGUGGGGAAUAUUGCACAAUGGGCGAAAGCCUGAUGCAGCGACGCCGCGUGAGCGAAGAAGGCCUUCGGGUCGUAAAGCUCUGACCUAUGGGAAGAAAGAUGACGGUACCAUAGGAGGAAGCCCGGGCUAACUACGUGCCAGCAGCCGCGGUAAUACGUAGGGGGCGAGCGUUGUCCGGAAUGACUGGGCGUAAAGGGUACGUAGGCGGCUAGAUAAGUCAGAUGUGAAAGGCAUAGGCUUAACCUGUGUAAGCAUUUGAAACUGUCUAGCUUGAGUCAAGGAGAGGAAAGGGGAUUUCGGGGUGUAGCGGUGAAAUGCGUAGAUAUCAGGAGAAAUACAGGUGGCAAGGGGGACUUUCUGGAUUAAGACUGACGCGGGGGUACAAAAGCGGGGGGAGCAAACAGGAUUAGAUACCCCAUUAGUC